UACCGCAUACGAUCUAAGGAUGAAAGUGGGGGAUCGCAAGACCUCAUGCUCGUGGAGCGGCCGAUAUCUGAUUAGCUAGUUGGUAGGGUAAAAGCCUACCAAGGCAUCGAUCAGUAGCUGGUCUGAGAGGACGACCAGCCACACUGGAACUGAGACACGGUCCAGACUCCUACGGGAGGCAGCAGUGGGGAAUUUUGGACAAUGGGCGAAAGCCUGAUCCAGAAAGGCCGCGUGAGUGAAGAAGGCCUUCGGGUG
rnacentral:rRNA from 1 species